rnacentral:rRNA from 1 species
UAGGGAAUCUUCCACAAUGGACGCAAGUCUGAUGGAGCAACGCCGCGUGAGUGAAGAAGGUUUUCGGAUCGUAAAGCUCUGUUGUUGGUGAAGAAGGAUAGAGGCAGUAACUGGUCUUUAUUUGACGGUAAUCAACCAGAAAGUCACGGCUAACUACGUGCCAGCAGCCGCGGUAAUACGUAGGUGGCAAGCGUUGUCCGGAUUUAUUGGGCGUAAAGCGAGGGCAGGCGGAAUGAUAAGUCUGAUGUGAAAGCCCACGGCUCAACCGUGGAACUGCAUCGGAAACUGUCAUUCUUGAGUGCAGAAGAGGAGAGUGGAAUUCCAUGUGUAGCGGUGGAAUGCGUAGAUAUAUGGAAGAACACCAGUGGCGAAGGCGGCUCUCUGGUCUGCAACUGACGCUGAGGCUCGAAAGCAUGGGUAGCGAACAGG